GAAUUGGUGUAGUGGUAGAGCAACGCGUCCCGUAUAGGAUGAAACGCGGGUUCGAUUCCCGCCUGAAGCC